rnacentral:piRNA from 1 species
UCCAAGAAUUCCAGUUUUCCA